GAUGAACGCUGGGGGCGUGCCUAAUACAUGCAAGUCGAGCGAACAGACGAGGAGCUUGCUCCUCUGACGUUAGCGGCGGACGGGUGAGUAACACGUGGAUAACCUACCUAUAAGACUGGGAUAACUUCGGGAAACCGGAGCUAAUACCGGAUAAUAUAUUGAACCGCAUGGUUCAAUAGUGAAAGACGGUUUUGCUGUCACUUAUAGAUGGAUCCGCGCCGCAUUAGCUAGUUGGUAAGGUAACGGCUUACCAAGGCAACGAUGCGUAGCCGACCUGAGAGGGGGAUCGGCCACCCUGGAACUGAGACACGGUCCAGACUCCUACGGGAGGCAGCAGUAGGGAAUCUUCCGCAAUUGGCGAAAGCCUGACGGAGCAACGCCGCGUGAGGGAUGAAGGUCUUCGGAUCGUAAAACUCUGUUAUUAGGGAAGAACAAAUGUGUAAGUAACUAUGCACGUCUUGACGGUACCUAAUCAGAAAGCCACGGCUAACUACGUG
rnacentral:rRNA from 1 species